GGCCCCUCUGCUCCUAUUGACUCAUGAGUCACUAAAAUACUUUUCUAUGGUAGAAGUGGACAAGGGCUAUUCAAGAUAGGAGAUAAUACAACUUACGGGCUGUCAGAUGUCUAGUAAUUUUUCAGCAGUGCUUUGCAGAUUGAUGUUGAGUCAAGAAAGACCUAGAGCCUGACUCUCCUCAAACUCUAUGAGAUAUCUCUUAGUCCUGUUAGAAAUCUGCAAGGCAUCAGACAUUUGGAUCCCCAAGCAGAUAUGCCAACAUCCUCUUCCCCUUCCUUCCACAAAAGCACUCUGACCGGAAAAGCAGAUCCAGGAGCAACAGGAAAGUUGCUUUCCUUCAAGGAGUCUGAAAUUCUGGCACAUGAUAAAAAGAAGCUGCCUACGUGACCAGCCUCACAAAAAGCUUUGGGCACUGACUCGCUUAUGAGCUUCCCUGGAGGACAACACUUGACGCGUGGUGUCCCAAUUUGUUGCUGGAGAAAUUCAGUGCAUCUUGUGCGACU
rnacentral:lncRNA from 10 species